UAAGUAUAUCAGAUCAGUGCAUGUACGUC
rnacentral:sRNA from 1 species